rnacentral:rRNA from 1 species
CCUACGGGGGGCAGCAGUGAGGAAUAUUGGUCAAUGGGCGGAAGCCUGAACCAGCCAAGUCGCGUGAGGGACUAAGGCCCUACGGGUCGUAAACCUCUUUUGCCGGGGAUCAGUGCCCAGCUCGCGAGCUGGGAGGGAGCGUACCCGGAGAAAAAGCAUCGGCUAACUCCGUGCCAGCAGCCGCGGUAAUACGGAGGAUGCGAGCGUUAUCCGGAUUUAUUGGGUUUAAAGGGUGCGCAGGCGGCCUGUUAAGUCAGCGGUAAAAGCCCGGGGCUCAACCCCGGCGAGCCGUUGAAACUGGCGGGCUGGAGUUGGAGAGAGGUACGCGGAAUGCGCGGUGUAGCGGUGAAAUGCUUAGAUAUCGCGCAGAACCCCGAUUGCGAAGGCAGCGUACCGGCUCCACACUGACGCUGAGGCACGAAAGCGUGGGUAUCGAACAGGAUUAGAUACCCGGGUAGUC